GAAGGCUAUUUAGAAGAGAAGCAGCAUUGCACACUCUGCACCAAUUCCCUUCUCUUUCUCUUUCUCUUCCUCUCAAUUCAGAUUCAGUUACGGUGGCAAACCGCAAAGCGGUUAUGGAGGCCACUUCUGAGUCUUCCGACCCCAAAGCCGUUAAUCUUCCCGUCAUUGAUCUCCGCCUUGUAUCUCAAUCGGAGCUAUACACUAUCUCCCUUUCGCACGCUACCGGCUGUAACCGUCGCAUCGACGAAGAUUGCGUUAUCCCUAAAAUUGACCGUUCGGUUUUCAAAGAGUCCACCGGUAGCCGGAAACAGACGUUCUCUCGUCUCCGUCUGUUUCCUCGUAACAACAAUAACCCGUACUCUCCCGUUCCUGCUGCUGUCGCUCCUGUUGCUGUUGUUCCCGCUCCUUCGUCUUCGUCUUCCCGCAUUGCCGCUGACGGAGAGAAUUCGCAAAUAAUCGAUCUCCUGCAAGAACUAUUCGGCGUUGAACCUCUCCGCGGCGCGUAUAAUGAUCAUGCUGUUCCGUUGCAAGUUGAGUUCAAACAACCGGCUCUUGAAUUUACGCCUCAGGCUGUUCAGAAUGUUCCGAUUGAUGGUAGUCAGACAAAGCGGAAGCGCGGAAGGCCUCGCAAGAGCGAGACUCCGGGCAGUGAGGCUCUUUUAGCCAUUUGCGAUGGUAAUGGGAAGGCGAUGGAAACGGAUGAUGAGAAGAAGGUAGAAACUGUUAAUGGCAAGAAGAAGAAGGUGGAAACGGAAAAUGAGAAGAAAGUGGAAGCGGCUAAGGAAAAGCAGGGGUUUGUUCUGGAGGAUGCUGGGGAUCCAUUUGUGGAGGAGUUGAUUGUGAGGACACAAGGGAUGAAUACGGAGCCAGAGUUGCUGGAGUUUUUGGAGGGUUUGAAUGGAGUUUGGGGAAGUGAUAGGAAGAAGAGGAGGAUUGUUGAUGCUAGUUGUCUCCGUGAUGUGCUGCCAACUGGAUGGAAACUCAUACUUACUCUUCAGAGGAGAGGGAGUCGAGCAUCGGUGUUAUGUCGCCGAUACGUAAGCCCUGACGGAGGCCAGUUUGAGACAUACAAGGACGUUUCUUCAUACUUGGUUUCUUUGUUCAAUGUUCAAGAUGCGGGCGAGUUAAAAUCUUGUUAUACUGAUGGUAGUAAGCAGUUCUCCAGUAAUAUCAAUAUAUCUGAAAAUCAGAUUAUUGGUCACGUCCCUACAGGCGGCAUUAAGAUCGAUGCCAGUGAAAGUUCUCAUCAUGAGAAGCAGGCCACCAUAUCAUCACCAAUUGGAGCUGAAAAGCGAAACACUUCUGAUGGGAAAUUAAAUGGUGACCUGGAAGCUAUGGAUUGUGAACUAGGUGAUGCCACCAAUGGAGCCUUUAGAGUCUCUGACCAUCCAACUGACGAUAAGCUACCACUGAAGGCAGAUAAGAAAGAUGCAAACUCAGUUCAGGAAUCCUUUCUUUCAGAGGACAGAGUUUAUAAUCAGAGUGUUGGUCCCAUCCCUACAUGUGGCAUGAAGAUUGAUGCCAAUACAAGUUCUCAUCAGAGGCAGGCCACCUUGUCAUCAUCAAUUGGAGCUGGAUGCUAUAAAACUGUUCCCUAUGGAAAUGAGCAAGUACGUGUUGGUGACAACGGGCUUGGGCUUUCCGCCACAUUAAUGGAAAACCACAUUCAGAAAAUAGCUUCUGAAAGCAGCAUGCUGGUUCCAAAUUCUCAAGAUAUUUCUACUAAUGGUAAACUUCAGUUUUGUCCAGAAGGCUCUUUUGUCCCAUCCCAGAAUGAACUUAACCAUACAUCUAUAGAGAGUAUGGAUAGGGAACAAACUUUUGAGCUGAAGGACUCUGCUGGGGCAAAAAAAAAUUAUAAUGAUUUACCUGGCUCGUCCACUGAUGAGAAAACAUGGGAUCACAAUGAUGAAUAUAUGGAUAAUAUUUCUUUUGAUCCCUGGCAACAAGAUGCACCUGUGUCUGAUGUAAUUGAUUAUACUCCCAAUCUUUAUGUAACUAAUGGUGUUAGUGACGAUCAUGCUCUUCCAUUGGACGAAGUUGCGACAAGCUCUUUACAAAAAAUGAGUUCUCUGAAUGACCAAAUUUGCACAAUGGACAAGCUGUUGCACAGAAGGUCUGAAAGUAACUUAUUUACCGUAGCCGGGAGUCAGCCCCCUUCUGCCCUCCAUGAUAAUAUGAAUAACAUCUCAGCUGGAGCCUUUGGUGCAGUCAAACAUGUUGAUGCAUCUCCUAGGGUCUUGCAGGGGGGAUCACAAUCUGUUUCUCCUGGUGGAAAUAUGUUAAACCAGUUUGACAAGAAAAAUGAUGAUGGAGUUAAUAAUGGAAAUACAUCUUGCUUAUCAGGUAUUCACAAAUAGCAGCCUGGCUGGAUUCAAAUGUGUCCUCAGAUGCAGUACAUGAAACAAUUUUAAAAAUAAAACAUGUAUGGUAGUUUGCAGAGUCUGCCUGUAAAUUAUCAAUUUUUGGCUCAGGAUGAUAGCCUAGGAAAGGAACUUUGUGGUGGCUGUAAGGUGUUGAAUUUGACGCCAAAAUUAGCUGUGAUACAUUCAUGGCGGUCUAGGAGCCUCUGACUUGAGAUCAUGGAAAAGCCAUGUUCUAGCCAAUUAGAUAAGUAUAGCUACAUUUAUAAUCAUAUUAUAGUACCUUGUGUUGCUUUUUGAGUAAAGGUGUAUCGAUGUUUUCUCUAUAAGCUUCUCGCCUCACAUUAUUUUUGAGGGACCUGUGAAAACAGUUAUGUGGAGGAUUGGAUUUUAUGCUGUGAAUAGGACUGACUGACUAACAUGUUUUAAGAUUGUGUCCAAAUUUAAAAACGAUUGAGCUUAUGAACCUUAACUUGAACUAAGUUUUGUUCUUUUGCUAAAUAAGUACUCUAGGAAAUGUACUAUUCUCUACUUGCAUGCUUUAUUUUUUAAAGCUAAUAGUUUCUGUUCUACUGUUUUCUUCCUCCUUUACUAAUUUUG